UUGCCUACGGGAGGCAGCAGUGAGGAAUAUUGGUCAAUGGGCGCGAGCCUGAACCAGCCAAGUCGCGUGAGGGAUGAAGGUUCUAUGGAUCGUAAACCUCUUUUAUAAGGGGAAAAAGAGCGGAGAGAGGAAAUGAACUCCGAUUGAUAUUACCCUUCGAGGAAGUCACGGCUAACUACGUGCCAGCAGCCGCGGUAAUACGUAGGUGGCGAGCGUUAUCCGGAAUGAUUGGGCGUAAAGGGUGCGUAGGCGGCCUGCUAAGUCUGGAGUGAAAGGUACCGGCUCAACCGGUACAGGCUCUGGAA
rnacentral:rRNA from 1 species